CUCAAGCAAUGGAAGGGGCUGUUCUUGCCAUAAAAUGCAUUUCAGGCCCAGAGCAGUGGCCUGUAAUCCCACUGUAAUCACGCCUGUAAUCCCAGCACCUUGGGAGGCCAAGGCAGGUGGAUCACUUGAGCUCAGGAGUUCAAGAUCAGCCUGGGCAACAUGGCAAAGCCCCAUGUCUACAAAAUACAAAAAAAUAGCCGUGUGUGGCUGUGCAAACCUGUGGUCCCUGCUACUUGGGAAGCUGAGGUGGGAGAACUGCUUGAGCCCGG
rnacentral:lncRNA from 1 species